GUGAGGAAUAUUGCGCAAUGGAGGCAACCCUGACGCAGCGACGCCGCGUGGAGGACGAAGUCUUUCGGGAUGUAAACUCCUGUCAGUGGGGACGAUAAUGACGGUACCCACAGAGGAAGCACCGGCUAACUCCGUGCCAGCAGCCGCGGUAAGACGGAGGGUGCAAGCGGUGUUCGGAAUUACUGGGCGUAAAGCGUAUGUAGGCGGCAAGUUAAGUUCAAUGUUAAAGCGCACGGCUCAACCGAGGUGAUGCAUUGAAUACUGGCUAGCUAGAGGGUGUUAGAGGAAGACGGAAUUCCCAGUGUAGCGGUGAAAUGCGUAGAUAUUGGGAGGAACAUCGGUAGCGAAAGCGGUCUUCUGGGACAUACCUGACGCUGAGGUACGAAAGCGUGGGGAGCAAACGGGAUUAGAAACCCCUGUAGUCC
rnacentral:rRNA from 1 species